rnacentral:rRNA from 1 species
AUUGAACGCUGGCGGAAUGCUUUACACAUGCAAGUCGAACGGCAACACGGACUUCGGUCUGGUGGCGAGUGGCGAACGGGUGAGUAACAUAUCGGAACGUAUCCAAUAAUGGGGGAUAACGAGUCGAAAGAUUCGCUAAUACCGCAUACGCCCUACGGGGGAAAGCUGGGGACCUUCGGGCCUGGCGUUAAUGGAGCGGCCGAUAUCUGAUUAGCUAGUUGGUGAGGUAAAGGCUCACCAAGGCGACGAUCAGUAGCUGGCCUGAGAGGACGACCAGCCACGCUGGAACUGAGACACGGUCCAGACUCCUACGGGAGGCAGCAGUGGGGAAUUUUGGACAAUGGGCGCAAGCCUGAUCCAGCCAUUCCGCGUGAGUGAAGAAGGCCUUCGGGUUGUAAAGCUCUUUCGCAAGGGAAGAAAACUUAGCCACUAACAUUGGUUGAGGUUGACGGUACCUUGAUAAGAAGCACCGGCUAACUACGUGCCAGCCGCCGCAGUAA